rnacentral:lncRNA from 10 species
GUUCAAGCAAUCCUCCCUCCCAAGUCUCCUCAGCUGGCUAAUUUUCUUUAACUUUUUAUAGAGACGGGCUCACUUAUCUUGCCCAAGCUCUCAAAUUAUUUUUUGUAUUGCUCGUUUCAUCACCUUCCUCCCUCUCAGCCUCCACACUACACACAUACCACAUCACCCCCAUAUCUACCUUAAUCCACUCAGGGACCACUAAAGCCUUUCCUUCCUUUGACAAUUAUCUGAAUGUCUAGUAGGUACUCAGCACUAUUAUGCCUUUUCCUAUCCUUUUCUUACCUUUCCAGAUACUACUACUAAAUUCAACUCCUACAGCAUAUACUUUACAAUCUGACAAUCACAUACAGCCUUGACUUGCAUUUAUUGUUCUUGUCUCCCCAUAUAGAGUUUAAAUUUCAAAGAGACAAAGGCAACAUCUUGUCCUUAUUAUAUAAUCUCCCCUGGGCCUAACAUUCCCGUUCCUAUCAUACAUUCUCGUUACUUUUUGAAUCAAAGAAACUCCUUAACAACAGUACUAGUUUUUAGCUUCCUCACUUCUGUAUACCUCACAGAAACAACACAGGGCAAAAUAUCAGAAGCCAGGUGCAGUGACUCACACCUGUAAUCCCAACAUUUUGGGAGGCCAAGGCAGGAGGAUCACUUGAGCCCAGGAGUUCAAGACCAGCCUGGGCAGCACUGUGAGACCCUGUCUCUAAAAAAAAUUAUAAAAAUAAAUAAGUCCAGCCGGGUGCAGUGGCUCAUGCCUGUAAUCCCAGCACUUUGGGAGACCGAGGCAGGCGAAUCACGAGGUCAAGAGAGCGAGACCAUCCUGGCCAACAUGGUGAAACCCCGUCUCUGCUAAAAAUACAAAAAUUAGCUAGGCGUGGUGGUGCAUGCCUAUAGUCCCAGUCUCAGCCACUUGGGAAACUGAGGCAGGAGAAUCGCUUGAACCAGGGAGUCAGAGGUUGCACUGAGCCGAGUUCGCACCACUGCACUCCAGCCUGGUGACAGAGCGAGACUCCGUCUCAAAAUAUAAAAAUAAAAAAUAAGUAAGUCCAGAAAAAGAAAUAAGGCCAGGCACGGUGGCCCACACCUGUAAUCCCAGCACUUUGGGAGGUCGAGGCGGGUGGAUCACUUGAGGCCAGUAGUUCAUGCCAACGUGGUUAAAACCCCAUGUCUACAAAAAAUACAAAAAUUAGAUGGGCACACACCCGUAAUCCCAGCUACUCGGGAGGCUGAGGUACGAGAAUCGCUUGAACCCGGGAAGCUGAGGCUGCAGUGAGCUGAGAUCACACCACUGCACUCCAGCCUGGGCGACAAGUGAGACUCUGUCUCAAAAACAAUCAAUCAAUCAAACAAACAAACAAUAAAUAAAUAUUUUAAAAAUAACAGAAUAUGGCUUGGAAUUAAAUAGUAGACAAUAUUAUAUCCAAAAGUUAAAGUACGCAGCUGGUUUUCAUGCCUACAUCUACAGAGGUGAGAACACUGAAAAAUCAAAACUGACAAUGUGUAAACAUAACUAGAAUGAUGAAAAAAACUGCAGGUUGAGUAACGCUUACUGAAAACACUUGGGACAGUAAGUAUGUCCAACUUUUUCAGAUUCUGGAAUAUCUGCAUAUACACGAGAUAUCUUGGGGCCAGAUAUCUUGGACCCAAGUCUACACACCAAAUUUGUUUAUGUUUCAUAUACCCCUUAUACACAUGGCCUGAAGGUAAUUUUAUACAAUGGCCAUAGGCCAGGCACGGUGGCUCACGCCUGUAAUCCCAGCACUUUGGGAGGCUGAGGCGGGAGGAUCACUACAUGGAAUAAUGGUGAAUGAAGGCUUGAGUUUCAUACGGGAUUAAGCUCAUUUCCAGUAAAGAUUUCAGACUACUUAAGGCACCUGGACAGAAAAACGGGCAGAUCUGAAUGAUCCCCAUAUCCAGUUUACCUUUUGCUGAAUGAUAUUCAUACCCAUAAUCCUCCAGCAUAUACAUUUGCAAAGUCAGAGGAAAGAACCAAUUCAAAUACAGAAUCACCUGCACCCUCCAAAUUGAACAAUUAUAAGUACAUCAAGGUCAAUUCUGAAGACCUUUAGGAAAACAAGUAACUCAAUACAGAAAUCCAGUUGUUUAUGAAUGGCAGCUAUUCUAAAUGUUAUUCCUUAACAUCAUUAAAAAGUCAGUUUUGGACAAACUGGUAAAUGAAUAUUACCCAAGUUCUGAUAUGCCACUAAACUAGCCCUGUAAUCCCAGCACUUUGGGAAGCUGAGGUAGGGAGACUGCCUGAGUCCAGGAGUUCGAGACCCUGUCGCUACAAAAAAUAAAUAAAUAAAAUUAGGCGUAGUGGGAGGAUUUCUUGAGCCUGGGAGGUUGAGGCUGCAGUGAGCCGUGAUCGUGC